ACCACUCUCAGCAAGUGGCAGCAUUGCCAUCUAAAAACCCAGGAGUCAGCCAGCUUUUCUCAUUUUCUCCAAAUUGUCACAUCUAGUUACCAAAUCUGGUGGAUUCAACAUCCUUGACUUUUUGCCGGAAUCUCUCUUGUUCUCCAUUCCCAUGGCCACCGCUAAUCCAGGCCAUGGUCACCUCUCACUUCCUCCGUGGCCUCCCAGUACUCCAGUACUGCUCCCUGCAGCUGAAAUUCCCCACCGAGGAUGAGCUGCAGAUGUAGUGAUAUGAUUCCCCUGCCUAGAAGAGUCAGUGGCUCCCUAUUGCCCUCAUACGAGACCCAGAGACUCCUAAGUAUGAUGGUGCUUCAAACUUUAAGCUCUGAACCUGUAAGACAGUGUGUCAUAUCUGUGCUCUACCUUGCCUCUGAGGCUUUGCACACACCAUUCCCUUUGCUUGGCAAGCUCUGUGUUUCCCCUUCUCCUGCUACCUUCCUGCAGUCAGCCCCUGCAUAGUGAAAUAUCUGUACUUGAAGCCUCCCCUCCCUUAGUGUCCUGCCUCUCUCUAUGCUAAACAUAUGAAAUAAGGGAUAAGCAUGAGUUAAAACCUCACUUCUACCCUUGACUAAUUGCGUGCUCUUGGGUACUUAAUUCACCUCUGAGAUUCAGUUUCUCCAUCUGUUAAAAUGGGGCACAAUCAUAACGUUAGGAGUCCAUUUCAGGCAGACACUUUAAAAGUCAGGGUCUGCUUUCCUGGCUUGUAGGAUUGUCGUGAGAAUUAAAGGAGAUUGCUGCAGGCAACCUUUCUAGGCCUGUGGAUUGUUGCAGGCAAACUUUCUAAACAGAUGCAUAAGGCUCAAUCCUACCC
rnacentral:lncRNA from 10 species